UCAAUGUCGAGCUCUUCCUUGACAGUCAAUAAUCCAAGGCAAAAGCGUUUAAUGAUGAUUGGGAUCUGGGACGCCAAGAUUAGGGCCAAAACCGGCAAAUAGCGAGAGCCAAGCCAAGCAAAAGCACAAAGAUGAUGAAGCCGCUGAGUGCCUGAAUGAGUGGUCAGUCUCACCCGUCCACUUGUCCCAAUUGUCCUUCGCUUACACCAUCCACCACCCCCACAAGGUUUCACUUCCCAUAUUCAUAAACAAUUAGAC
rnacentral:lncRNA from 1 species